UACGAAGGGUGCAAACGUUGCUCGGAAUCAUUGGGCGUAAAGCGCACGUAGGCGGCCUAUUAAGUCGGAUGUGAAAUCCCUCGGCUCAACCGAGGACGUGCAUACGAAACUGGUAGGCUCGAGUAUGGAAGAGGGUCGCGGAAUUCCCGGUGUAGAGGUGAAAUUCGUAGAUAUCGGGAGGAACACCAGUGGCGAAGGCGGCGACCUGGGCCAAUACUGACGCUGAGGUGCGAAAGCGUGGGGAGCAAACAGG
rnacentral:rRNA from 1 species